rnacentral:rRNA from 1 species
AUUGAACGCUGGCGGCAGGCCUAACACAUGCAAGUCGAGCGGAUGACGGGAGCUUGCUCCCUGAUUUAGCGGCGGACGGGUGAGUAAUGCCGAGGAAUCUGCCUGGUAGUGGAGGAUAACGUUCCGAAAGGAACGCUAAUACCGCGUACGUCCUACGGGAGAAAGCAGGGGACCUUCGGGCCUUGCGCUAUCAGAUGCGCCUAGGCCGGAUUAGCUAGUUGGUGAGGUAAUGGCUCACCAAGGCGACGAUCCAUAACUGGUCUGAGGGGAUGAUCAGUCACACUGGAACUGAGACACGGUCCAGACUCCUACGGGAGGCAGCAGUUGGGAAUAUUGGACAAUGGGCGAAAGCCUGAUCCAGCCAUGCCGCGUGUGUGAAGAAGGUCUUCGGAUUGUAAAGCACUUGAAAUUGGGAGGAAGGGCAGUAAGUUAAUACCUUGCUGUUUUGACGUUACCGACAGAAUAAGCACCGGCUAACUUCGUGCCAGCAGCCGCAGUAACAC